UGGCGGACGGGUGAGAAAUGCAUCGGAACGUACCCAGUCGUGGGGGAUAGCCCGGGGAAACCCGGAUUAAUACCGCAUACGCCCUGAGGGGGAAAGUGGGGGACCGCAAGGCCUCACGCGAUUGGAGCGGCUGAUGUCGGAUUAGCUAGUUGGUGGGGUAAAGGCCUACCAAGGCGACGAUCCGUAGCUGGUCUGAGAGGAUGAUCAGCCACACUGGGACUGAGACACGGCCCAGACUCCUACGGGAGGCAGCAGUGGGGAAUUUUGGACAAUGGGGGCAACCCUGAUCCAGCCAUGCCGCGUGAGUGAAGAAGGCCUUCGGGUUGUAAAGCUCUUUCGGCCGGGAAGAAAUCGUGGUCUCUAACAUAGGCCAUGGAUGACGGUACCGGACUAAGAAGCACCGGCUAACUACGUGCCAGCAGCCGCGGUAAUA
rnacentral:rRNA from 1 species